UAAUAAAAAGUCAUAGUAUAUUAAAGGGGACAUAUUAUGCUCCUUUUCAACAAGUUUGAAUAAGUCUCAGAGGUCCCCAAAGCAUGUCUUUGAAGCUUUUUGCUAAAAAAUCCACUCCGAUCCUAUAUUUCAGCAUGCCUGUAAACCCCUCUUUUUCAGCCCUGUUCAGAACAGGCUGUUUCUGUGUCUGUAGCUUUAAAUGCAAAUGAGCUGUGCCUGACCACGCCCCUCUCCGGAAGGGGAUGCCGUACAGGCUUCUGGAACCAUGCUCUAAUGUUUACGGUGACUGUGACAGGCAACCUGGCGUCGGUAGCGAUUUGGUUCAACCACACGACUUUUAUCCAGAAUCUGACCCAGAGGGAGAGACUGCUGAAGAAGUUCAAACUCUACAACUGCAGCAGGACUUUUCUGAAUGGUGCUCCUGUGGAAACUGUGCAACCAUGCCCACAGAAGCUGAGAACAUCUGCUGCUAGGAGAUACCACAGGUUACCAGACGGCUAUGGGAGAUUAAGGAAGAUUUAUCAUGUAUGGUCGGCCGUCCUGGGUUGGAGCCGCUCUGCCUCAUUGUGUUCUGCCUGCAACAUGUACCGCACUGACUAUGGUCCUUU